GCUGACACGUACCGGCCAAUCUCCAGCAGACCCUCCCUCCCAGACCCUCCUACUUCCUGGACAGCAUCCAUGUUGAACUUGCAAGGUGUUGAAACAUGGAUGCUGUCCAGGAAGUAGGAGGGUCUGGGAGGGAGGGUCUGCUGGAGAUUGGCCGGACGUGUCAG